GAUGAACGCUGGCGGCGUGCCUAAUACAUGCAAGUCGAGCGAACGGACGAGAAGCUUGCUUCUCUGAUGUUAGCGGCGGACGGGUGAGUAACACGUGGAUAACCUACCUAUAAGACUGGGAUAACUUCGGGAAACCGGAGCUAAUACCGGAUGAUAUUUUGAACCGCAUGGUUCAAAAGUGAAAGACGGUCUUGCUGUCACUUAUAGAUGGAUCCGCGCUGCAUUAGCUAGUUGGUAAGGUAAAGGCUUACCAAGGCAACGAUGCAUAGCCGACCUGAGAGGGGGGUCGGCCACACUGGAACGUAGACACCGUCCAGACUCCUACGGGACGCAGCAGUAUGGUAUCUUCCGCAGUAGGCGAAAGCCUUACGGAGCAACGCCGCGUCAGUGAUGAAGGUCUUCGGAUCGGAAAACUCUGCUAUUAGUGAUGAACAUAUGUGUAAGUAACUGUGCACAUCUUGACGGUACCUAAUCAGAAAGCCACGGCUAACUACGUG
rnacentral:rRNA from 1 species